rnacentral:rRNA from 1 species
GAUGAACGCUGGCGGCGUGCCUAAUACAUGCAAGUCGAGCGAACAGACGAGGAGCUUGCUCCUUUGACGUUAGCGGCGGACGGGUGAGUAACACGUGGGUAACCUACCUAUCAGACUGGGAUAACUUCGGGAAACCGGAGCUAAUACCAGAUAAUAUUUCGAACCGCGUGGUUCGAUAGUGAAAGAUGGCUUUGCUAGCACUUCUAGCUGGACCUGCGCCGUAUUAGCUAGUUGGUACGGUACAGGCUUACCACGGCAACGAUACGUAACCGAGCUCAGAGGCGGGUCGCCGACAUGGGAACUGAGCCGCGGACAUGGCGCCUACGGGAGGGAGCAGUAGCGAACCGGACGCAAUGGGCGAAAGCCUGACGGAGCAGGGGCGCGUGUGAGAUGAAGGUCUUCGGAGCGUAAAACUCGGUUAUGAGUGAAGAACAAACGUGUAAUGAACUGUGGACGGCGUGACGGUACCUAAUCAGAAAGCCACGGCUAACUACGUG